AUUGAACGCUGGCGGCAGGCCUAACACAUGCAAGUCGAGCGGAGCGGCGGACGGGUGAGUAAUGCCUAGGAAUCUGCCUGGUAGUGGGGGACCACGUCCGGAAACGGGCGCUAAUACCGCAUACUAUCAGAUGAGCCUAGUUCGGAUUAGCUAGUAGGUGGGUUAAAGGCUCACCUAGUCGACGAUCCCUAGCUGGUCUGAGAGGAUGACCAGCCACACUGGAAUUGAGACACGGUCCAGACUCCUACGGGAGGCAGCAGUGGGGAAUAUGGCACAAUGGGCGCAAGCCUGAUGCAGCCAUGCCGCGUGUAUGAAGAAGGCCUUCGGGUUGUAAAGUACUUUCAGCGGGGAGGCGUUACCCGCAGAAGAAGCACCGGCUAACUCCGUGCCAGCAGCCGCGGUAAUUC
rnacentral:rRNA from 1 species